AUUGAACGCUGGCGGAAUGCUUUACACAUGCAAGUCGAACGGCAGCACGGGAGCUUGCUCCUGGUGGCGAGUGGCGAACGGGUGAGUAAUGCGUCGGAACGCGCCGAGUAAUGGGGGAUAACGCAGCGAAAGUUGUGCUAAUACCGCAUACGCCCUGAGGGGGAAAGUGGGGGAUCGCAAGACCUCACGUUAUUCGAGCGGCCGACGUCUGAUUAGCUAGUUGGUGGGGUAAAGGCCUACCAAGGCGACGAUCAGUAGCGGGUCUGAGAGGAUGAUCCGCCACACUGGGACUGAGACACGGCCCAGACUCCUACGGGAGGCAGCAGUGGGGAAUUUUGGACAAUGGGGGCGAACCCUCGAUCCAGCCAUUCCGCGUGAGUGAAGAAGG
rnacentral:rRNA from 1 species